AGCUUUGCGCAGUGGCAGUAUCAUGGCCAAUGAGGUUUAUACGAGGUAUAAUUAUUGCUAAUUAAAAUUCCUGUAGUGACUAAAUGCAGGUCAUUUCAGAGGUGAUUUUUAGAUAUUCAAAUGCCACGUGAA
rnacentral:snRNA from 1 species